AGAUGUUAAAAGCAAGAGACAUGGGAGAGCAUCAUUCCUUUGAGAUUUUAUAAAUCAAACCAACUUUGGAGUUGUCUGAUUUGGAGAGUCAUUAUUCUUGGUCUUCGCUCUUAGAGGCCACUGAUGAAGAACAGGCUGUGACUGGGAUGAAUCCUGGUCAGAGAGGAGAAUCUUCUUUGCUAAACUGAUGCAGCGGUGGUUUUAAAGGAGGACGCUGCCCUGGAUGAUGUAGAAGAUGUCACAUGCUGUGCUGAUGGGGUUUCUUCAUGAUUACAUCAGUUAUGCUAAACAGAUCAUGAAAAUUGACCGUGAUGCAUGAUCUGUAUUCAUGGACUAUGAAACAAACUGUAAGUGUAUAAUUUGUUAAAAAAAAAAAAAGUUAAAUGCUUUUUCUGUGUUGUUUAGUAGAAGAGUUUACACUGUCAUUCAUACACCUGCUCACAUUCUUUCUCACACACACACACACACACACACACACACACACACAUGCGUCUGUUAAAUGUUAUAAUAUCAAAGUUAAUGUUGUGAUUUAUUUGUGUACUGUCAUGCCAGAAUAGUUGAAAAAAAACCUAACUAAUUGUAAAUUUAUUGUAUGUUUUCGUAUAUUUUUAUACAGUAUAUACAAUUGAACAAAGUCCAAUUUGAUCUUAAGUUAUAUUCAUCAAAUGUUCAAUCCUUUGUUUAUGAACUCUGUAGCUGUUAAUGCCAUCCUUUUCUGCAUUUCUUCUAACAUGUUACUUUUUGAUGUUUCUCUUGUUUUUAAUAAAUAUUUUCCUUUUGAUAAUUAUUAUUUGUGUGUAAAAGUGAUAUUUAAAAUGAACAACAUUUGUAGGUUUAAUGCCUAGCUCAAUUUGGGUUAAUUUUAACGUAGAAAUGCAUUGUUUCCCCACAUGGCUGCACUCUGCGAGUUUAUUUUCUGCCAGCAGGAGGCGCUAAGAGCGGGAGAGGUAGGUUUCUCCGGU